GAUGAACGCUGGCUACAGGCUUAACACAUGCAAGUCGAGGGGAAACGGCAUUGAGUGCUUGCACUGAAUGGACGUCGACCGGCGCACGGGUGGGUAACGCGUAUCCAACCUUCCCGUUACUGCGGGAUAACCUGCCGAAAGGCAGACUAAUACCGCAUGUUCUUCGAUGACGGCAUCAGAUUCGAAGCAAAGAUCCGUCGGUAACGGAGGGGGAUGCGUCUGAUUAGCUAGUUGGCGGGGCGACGGCCCACCAAGGCGACGAUCAGUAGGGGUUCUGAGAGGAAGGUCCCCCACAUUGGAACUGAGACACGGUCCAAACUCCUACGGGAGGCAGCAGUGAGGAAUAUUGGUCAAUGGGCGGAAGCCUGAACCAGCCAAGUAGCGUGCAGGAUGACGGCCCUACGGGUUGUAAACUGCUUUUAUGCGGGGAUAAAGUGAGGGACGCGUCCCUUUUUGCAGGUACCGCAUGAAUAAGGACCGGCUAAUUCCGU
rnacentral:rRNA from 1 species